rnacentral:lncRNA from 1 species
CUUCAGAAUACAAACCACAAAUAUGAGUUUCUCGCUCCAUCCUUUCCCUUCAAUAAUAUCAUCCACUUCGUCAUGCAAACAUACUCCCAAACACAACCCACACUGCGACACCCACGACCACCAUGAACUAACCUUUGAAACCCAUUCAUUCUCCUUCAUUGUCUCCCUCUCCAACUAUUAUUCAGAACCCUCCAAGCAACA